ACAUAGGUGCCAUUAGGCACCACAUUAGCAAAGUGCCAAUUUGUG
rfam:Nelumbo nucifera unplaced genomic scaffold scaffold00047, whole genome shotgun sequence